GACAGAGGUGCCAAGCGUUAGGCGGAAUCACUGGGCUUAAAGCGUGUGUAGGCGGAUCGUUAAGUACCUUGUGAAAUCCCACGGACUCAACCGGUGGAACUGCUGGGUAUACUGGCGGUCUUGAGCCACCUAGGGGCAGCUGAAGAAGCAGGCUGGGUAGGCGACUGGAAUGAACGUAGAUAUCGCUUGGGAACGCCAACGGUGAAAACAGGCUGCUGGGGGUGUGCUGACGCUGAGACACGGAAAGCCAGGGGAGCGAACGGG
rnacentral:rRNA from 1 species